rnacentral:lncRNA from 1 species
ACUGUGUGCUUGGCAUUUCUGAGGGCACAUGAGACAGCAGGUGGAAAUGCCUUGGCAUGGCAGAAUCUGGAGGAUCUCUUCUCUCCUCGAAGUCCGGAGGUGCUGAAUGAAGGCCAGGAAGCUCUGGACGGCCUCGGCCUUGGACAGGUUUUCAGGCUCCAGGUUCUUUCUGAUGGACUUCCAGUGCUCCGCCAGCUGCAAAGCACAGCCCCGGGUGCAAGCCCCUUAGUUCUGAGCUCCGGGCUUACGAAAGGCAAAAGGCGCUGUUCUCCAUGGAGAUACAACGGUCACGCCACCCAUCUCGUACACUGUGUGAAGCCAGCCGCUAAUACGUAGGACUGUUUCCUCUAGGGGGAGGGGGUGGGGGGCACGCUAGAGCUGCUCGACCUUGGACCAUUAGCCAUCUGAGGUUUGGAUGUGUGGGUCCAGCAAUGACUGUGUUGUGACAAGCACACCCGAGGCCAGGCUUUGAGCACACUAGGGGAAGUGUGCGGAAGUUUCAUUAACAGCUGGGGACUUGGUGUUUGGGAAAGGCAAAGUGAGACCUGCCAGAGUCACUGCUUUCUAACUUGCUCGGACCUCACUGCAAAUCAAAGUUUCAAACCUUCUGAGCUCCCUACUCUUCUUACGGCACUGCUUCUGUGGAAUCCAAUGCCGCGCUGUUGCUGGGAUCUCAACUGUUCAGAGUUUGUAUCUAUGCUUAAUGGGGAGAGUUGAAAAGGGGUCAUUUCCUCAUAUGCUACAGUUAUCGUAUAAUGACCUUGAGAGCAGUAAUAAUGCUAAUCAAUGCCAUCUUUCACGUUUGAAACAAGCCAAAUAACUUCCCCACUUCAGUACGUUUUCCCUUACCCCAUUGUAUAGAAUGUAAAAUUCUAUCAGCGUGACUGUUAACUGCGUGGUAAAUGAUCAUGCUGUUUUAAAAUGAUUGAUUUCUUCUUUAAAGAACUAGCAAUUACCUCUGCUGCAGAAAGAAAGGAAGGAGGAGAGAGAGAGACAGAGAAACAGACAGAAAGCUGGGGGGAGGAAGGGAGAGAGAGAGAGAGAGAGAGAGAGAGGAGAGAGAGAGAGAGAGAGAGCAAUUACAAGCCGGCAUCAUCCCUAGCCUGCCCACACUUACAGAAGGGCAUCCUUUGCAGACACGCUCGAGGACCUGUCCCACAAUGGGAAUGGCUUUGUAUUUGGAAUCAACUGCUUUAAUUACACCUGCCACUUGCUUCCCGGGGAUCAUCCUUGGGCCGGCUUCAGUUGUCUUCAGCUCCAAUUUCUGCCUGUGCAACACCAAAUGGAAACAGCACAUUGUAAGAAUUUACAAGUGUGAGGGGACAAAUACUAAAACUGCAACUCUUUCAGAGAACACAAAACCAACUAACUUACUCCAUCCAUUUACGCGUGCAAUCUACGGCAUCUCCAGAGACACCUUGAACCCCAACGACAUUGUUUAGUUUUUCUGGUCUAACUAUUUUAUUCAAAGAUUUGGAAGUUUUAGGUCUAGACUUUCAAAAUAUCAUGCUAAGAGGACAAAAGAAAGAAGACUUGUCAGGAUGCAGAAGAAGGCACGGGCGGUCUAUCAGCCCUUUCACCUCAGUUAGCUUUCUGAAAAUCACAAGUCAACUACUAACCAAGACAGUCAGCAAAGCUCAUUUU